AUUGAACGCUGGCGGCAGGCCUAACACAUGCAAGUCGAGCGAGCGGCGGACGGGUGAGUAAUGUAUGGGGACUGCCCGAUAGAGGGGGCUAACCACUGGAAACGGUAGCUAAUAACGCAUACUAUCGGAUAACCCAUAUGGGAUUAGCUAGUGGGUGGGGUAAUGGCUCACCAAGUCGACGAUCCCUAGCUGGUCUGAGAGGAUGAUCAGCAACACUGGGACUGAGACACGGCCCAGACUCCUACGGAGGCAGCAGUGGGGAAUAUUGCACAAUGGGCGCAAGCCUGAGGCAGCCAUGCCGCGUGUAUGAAGAAGGCCCUAGGGUUGUAAAGUACUUUCAGUCGGGAGGCGUUACCGACAGAAGAAGCACCGGCUAACUCCGUGCCAGCAGCCGCGGUAAUAC
rnacentral:rRNA from 1 species